CUCGGCCAUGGCACGGAGGCGGCGGGGAGGCGGCGGGGCUGCGGCCGGCCCCGGGGCGGCGCGGAGACUGCAGCCGGGCCGCGGCGGCUCCGCAGGUUUUGGAGGAGAGGCUGCUCAGAUCCCUGCGGGCUGAGGACGGAUCUGAUUUACCCCUCUGCGAUGCCCAAAGUGCGCCCGUGCCCGUCGUCGUGCUGAAGCCUCCUGCAUAUGAAGAUAAUGCGAGGAUAUUGGUGCAGUGAGCGCGCACAGAGAUCUUGAAAGCAUUACCAUCAUUUAACCAAGAAGAAGCUGAAGCACAAGGAAAUUGUUUCAACUACCAAGGUCUAAGUUUAUAACAGACUGCAACCAGAGGUGCCCGGGGGGUAUGUGCAUGAAUAAAGCUCAAUGCCAGAGAAGAAGAAGAAGAAAAAACAAAAACAGAAAAGCUGGGUCCUUUCAUAGUAAUGUAUUGACAAGCAUACUUAAGGAUGGCAAAAAUUUUCAAGAUGUAUGGUUAGAAAGGCACCAAUUCAGCAGGAUGCUUACACACUCAUCUACCUCAAAAUAGGUGAGCGGUCCCACUGAAGUCAGUAGUGCUACUUCUGUGCUUAAAGUCAGAAAAACGCUGUGAUAUCUUGCUAAACUGAAGCCUAAGACUCACUACUUUUAAUCUUGCCAAAUGCUUCUGCACAUUCUGGAUCACAGCAUGCAAAAUGAAAUGUCUUUUGUUAAAAAUAGAUCCGCUAUCUUAAAGAUAUCCAGGAGGAACAAAGAAAGAAAGAAAAAGGAAUUCAUCUUAGAGUUUUACAGCAUGCUGAUAUAGCUGAUGUUUCUAUUUAUUUGCAUUGGAGAUCUGUGCAGGUAAUGGAGGUUAGACUGCAAUGCAGAGGAUGACAUGCUAAUGUACUUUUAUCGACUAACAGGAAUUGAACGCAUUCAGAUAAUGCACUCUUAGCUUGCUGGAUGCUAAAAGGUCUGCUCUGUUUGGAUUCUUUCAACAAUAAAACAACAACAACAACAAAAGCCA
rnacentral:lncRNA from 1 species